CCAGACUCCUACGGGAGGCAGCAGUGAGGAAUAUUGGUCAAUGGUCGGGAGACUGAACCAGCCAAGCCGCGUGAGGGAUGAAGGUACAGAGUAUCGUAAACCUCUUUUGUCAGGGAACAAAGGCGGGGACGCGUCCCCGGAUGAGUGUACCUGAAGAAAAAGCAUCGGCUAACUCCGUGCCAGCAGCCGCGGUAAUACGGAGGAUGCGAGCGUUAUCCGGAUUUAUUGGGUUUAAAGGGUGCGUAGGCGGAGUGUCAAGUCAGCGGUAAAAUUUCGGGGCUCAACCCCGUCGUGCCGUUGAAACUGGCGUUCUUGAGUGAGCGAGAAGUAUGCGGAAUGCGUGGUGUAGCGGUGAAAUGCAUAGAUAUCACGCAGAACCCCGAUUGCGAAGGCAGCCUUCCGGCGCCCUACUGACGCUGAGGCACGAAAGUGCGGGGAUCGAACAGGAUUAGAUACCCUGGUA
rnacentral:rRNA from 1 species